GAGUUUCAUCCUGGCUCAGGAUGAACGCUAGCUACAGGCUUAACACAUGCAAGUCGAGGGGCAGCCUGGGAGUAGCUUGCUACUCUUGAUGGCGACCGGAGCACGGGUGCGUAACACGUAUCCAAUCUACCCAUGGCUCGGGAAUAGCCUUUCGAAAGAAAGAUUAAUGCCCGAUGGUCUGUCAGUGAGACAUCUCGCAGGCAGUAAAGAUUAAUCGGCGAUGGAUGAGGAUGCUUCUGAUUAGGUAGAUGGCGGGGUAACGGCCCACCAUGCCGACGAUCAGUAGGGGUUCUGAGAGGAAGGUCCCCCACAUUGGAACUGAGCCAUGAUCAAACUC
rnacentral:rRNA from 1 species